AUGGAAACCUUUGGAAAAGUGUGCUCCAUAAUUCAAUGAUUUUUGUUGUGAUUUGCUGAAGCAUUCUUAAAGGCCAACUGAUAAAAGGUCGGUGCUAGAAGAAAGAAAGAAGAUUUUGACAAUCAAAGGUUGACCAUUUUCCAUGGUUUUAUGCUUGAAGGAAUAUUCAUCUUGCUUUCAGUGCUGAAGAACAAAAACACCUCACAGGUAACAGACGCAUCACUGAGGACACUCAGAAAAGCCUGAUUGACUUUCAAGGAAGGGACAAAGAUUUGAGGAAGAAAGUCGAUCCUCUGUACCUUCUUCACAUCUUCAUGCAAUUACGGAGUGUUUGAAGACAAAG